rnacentral:rRNA from 1 species
CCCUUAGACGUUCUGGGCCGCACGCGCGCUACACUGACGAAGGCAACGAGCUUUCCUUUACCGAAAGGUACGGGUAAUCUUUUGAAACUUCGUCGUGCUGGGGAUAGAUCCUUGCAAUUUUUGAUCUUAAACGAGGAAUGCCUAGUAAGCGCAAGUCAUCAACUUGCGUUGAUUACGUCCCUGCCCUUUGUACACACCGCCCGUCGCUACUACCGAUUGAAUGGUUUAGUGAGGCCUUCGGAUCCGCGACUCGUUUUGUGGAGAAGUUGGACAAACUCAGUCAUUUAGAGGAAGUAAAAGUCGUANCA